GACGAACGCUGGCGGCGUGCUUAACACAUGCAAGUCGAACGGAAAGGCCCUGCUUUUGUGGGGUGCUCGAGUGGCGAACGGGUGAGUAACACGUGAGUAACCUGCCCUUGACUUUGGGAUAACUUCAGGAAACUGGGGCUAAUACCGGAUAGGAGCUCCUGCUGCAUGGUGGGGGUUGGAAAGUUUCGGCGGUUGGGGAUGGACUCGCGGCUUAUCAGCUUGUUGGUGGGGUAGUGGCUUACCAGGGCUUUGACGGGUAGCCGGCCUGAGAGGAUGACCGGCCACAUUGGGACUGAGAUACGGCCCAGACUCCUACGGGAGGCAGCAGUGGGGAAUAUUGCACAAUGGGCGGAAGCCUGAUGCAGCAACGCCGCGUGCGGGAUGACGGCCUUCGGGUUGUAAACCGCUUUCGCCUGUGACGAAGCGUGAGUGACGGUAAUGGGUAAAGAAGCACCGGCUAACUACGUG
rnacentral:rRNA from 1 species